UUAACGAAACGGCAAAUCCACCGAAAGAUGGAGGCGCAAAGCCACGGGCCUAAGGCGAAAUGCUAUGGCAGCCGGGUUGCCGAA
rnacentral:ncRNA from 1 species